UUUCUCUUUUUCUUUCCUUAGCUGUUUUUUUCUAGAUUGCGCAGUGUGGUAGGAAGACCACUGAACUUGAAGUCAGAAGAUCUGGGGUUCUAAAGUCCUGGCUUUUCUGUUUACUACUAUGUGAUAUUAGACAGGUCACUUAACUCCUCUGGACUUCAGAUUUCUAAUUUGUAUGAGAGGUAAAAAGACUAAAGUCUAAUUUUCUGUGAAUUCUGAGAUGGGAAGAG